UACGAGGAGAGCGAGCGUUAUCCGGAAUCAUUGGGCGUAAAGCGUGCGCACGCGGUUUGGUAAGUGGGGUGUUAAAUUCCAAAGCUCAACUUUGGGAUCGCGCUCCAAACUACCAGACUAGAGGCUAGUAGAGGCAGACGGAACUCCCGGUGUAGUAGUGAAAUGCGUUGAUAUCGGGAAGAACACCAAAAGCGAAAGCAGUCUGCUAGGCUACGCCUGACGCCGUUGCACGACAGCGUGGGGAGCAAACAGG
rnacentral:rRNA from 1 species